rnacentral:tmRNA from 1 species
GGGGCUGACCGGUUUUGACAGCGGGCAGAAGAGGUUCGUAAGCAUGCCGGGCUUUGGAUUGUUGGCCCGUAAAUCUUAAUAUCCAAACAAUUAAUUGGCGAAAAUAAUUUUGCUCUUGCCGCAUAAUCGAAUAAAGUAGAUUAAGCUAAUCCGGCAUUAGAUGCUGGAGUGAGACAUUUCCCGGGUGCUGUUGAUCCGAAGCGGCCCGAACAGGAAGUGCAGUAAUAUCGGAAAUAGUCGGCUAAAUGCUCCGGCAAGUCGGCGAAAUAAAGGAGAUAAGGUGAAGAUCGGUGGCCUUGAGCCAUUCUUCAUUCGAAAACCAAAUCUUGGAUAAGUAUGUAGAAAGCGUAUUGCUUCCUCGUUUGGACCGGGGUUCGACUCCCCGCAGCUCCACCC